CAAAAUAUAAAAUUUUGAUCAAAUAAUAAAAAAACUAACUAAAAAAAUCAAAAAUCAAGAAACAAAAGAACAAAAAAAACUACUAACCCAAACAAGACCUUAGAAGCCCUAAAAUCGAGGAAGACACUACAAGGCCCUAGGAAAUUGGGUAGUUCUUUGUUUUGCUAAUAGAUUUUUAAGAACUAUGAGCAUCUCCCAUGGAUUUACUAAAAAAAAAGGUUAAUUUCAUUCAUUAGAUGACAUGUUGAAUUAAUAAAUUUUUUAUUAAUCUUUUGGCUUCCAACGGAAUAACUAAAGAUGUCUUUAACUUUAAUCACUCUUAGUUUUGAUUUAGUGACUCACUAAUCUAGAUAGUUUACUUACAAACCAAGGGAGGAAGAGAGAGAAAACUAGAUAAUGAGAUUCAUUUGUACUUUUUUUAACUUUUGCUCGUGUUUAACACGCACUUUGGAGUAACCAAUUAAAGCCUUCAAUGAUUCUAUAAAUUAAUCAACAUUUUAUCACAAAAAAAUUGAAUCCAUUUUUGUUUAUUAACACACAUUUUAGUACACUUUUUGUUUAGUCCAUUGGAGAUGCCUAGGACACAACUCACGGGACUGUACAAUACUGUCCAAUAAUUUUUUUAUCCUAUUUUUGGUUUAUUUUAAUAAUUAAAAUCAUAAAUAUUCUAAAAAUCGUUAUGCAGAUUAAUAUGGUAAAAAAUUAUAUUAUCGGAUACAAAUUGAUAACUAUUCAUUACUGUUUUAUUAUUUAAUAAAUGAGUUUCACACACAUGAUUAUAUUUAUUUAUCAUGAUAUAAAUUGAUAACGAUCGACUAUCGAUCUGUAUUCGAUUAACGUAAUUUUUUAUGAUAUUUAAUUUCUCAAUAAAUUAUAUAAUUUUAACGAUUUAAAUAAUUAAAAUAGACCAAAAUGUUAUUGCAGUUCAAAAUUAGAGUACAAAGAAACCUGGUCAUUAAUCUGACAUAAGAAUAGUCAAGAGAGUAAAGGGGCAGAUGAUCCGAAUCCCGUACCAACCGUUAAACGGCUUUCUCUGUUAAAAGAAAAAAAAAAUUAAUUAACAAUUCGAAAGAGGGCAACCAGGGGUUGACACUAAGGCUCUGUUUAGUAAUGUUUAAAAUUUUUUUUUUUUUUAAAUUUAUUAAGAAAAAAAAAGAUUAUUUGAUUUUUUUGUUUUUAUAACUUUAUUUUAGGUAAAAUUAAGUAAAAAACAAAAAUAAAAAAAUAAAAAAGUCAACUUCAAUUAAUUUUUUUACUUAUUUUAAAUAAAAAAAUUAAAAUAAAUUGGUGUAAACGGAGCUAAGAGUGCACAAGACUGUCCGAUCACUCACUCCCAAGUGUCCCGCUCGUUCGAGAUUUCUUACCAUCCCCGUGAAUCCACUAAUCACCACAUCAAACUCACAGAUGUCCCCCUGCAUGUGGCUCCUUUCUCUCUAAACAAAUCGGAACCCCAUACUCCGUCCCCCUCUCCCCCCCAUCUCUCUCUCUCACGUGCCUCUCCGCUCCUCGUUACAACAGCCAAAAUGCCGUCAAUAGAUUUUAGGAUGAACUGUCUUACAAUUACAAUCUCCCCAUCCAUAUAUAUACACCAUUUAUUCCUAGUUAAAGGAAACCCUAAGACAAUCCUAAAACAAUCCCUAAAUUAGGAAACACAAUCCCUUUAAAAACAAGGAAACAUGUUUAAUCAAGAUAAGGAGGGAAUCAAGGAAUUCCUAACAAACACCUCCCCCUCAAGUUGAGGUGAAGAUAUCGACGAGUCCCACUUGCCAAUAGAAAGACUUCACAAUGAGGGGGGCCCAAUGGACUUAGUGAAUAUGUCAACAGUCUGCGCAUGAGAUGGGACAAAAAUGGGAGUACUAUCCCAGAACGAACUUUUUCCCGAAUGAAGUGAAUAUCCACUUACUGUUCUUCGUUCUCGUCAUGAAGAACAGAAUCAAGGAUAACAUUAUAGCCGAUUUAAUUGUCACAGAACAAGAGGAUGAAUCCGUCACUGAAAAACCCAACUCAGCUAGAGAGAUCGUGAAGCCAAAGAAGCCUCACUUGUGCCCUGAGCCAUGGCAGAUACUCAGCUUCGGCAGAAGAUCGGAAACCAACACUUGCUUCUUACUUUUCCAAGUAUGAAGAUGACUACCAUGAAAAGUACAGACAACCAGUGGUAGAUCGGCUAUCACUCUUAGAACCUCAUAUCAGGCAAAUCUGUAAAACAUGAGAGGCCCGCUGUAUUCCAACUUUAAACAAUCAAGACCAGGACAUGAUUUAAAUACCGAGAAUGUGAUAUACAAGCAUCUAGAUGAGUAGGUAACGUGGCGAGUGCAUAAACUGGCUCACCACACUGACCGCAAAUGGUGAGAUCCGGCCUUGGUAGUUUGUCCAAAAUGAUAAGUCGACCCACAAUCUGGCUGAUAUAAAAAAAAAAAAAAGAUAGAUGGAUCUGAUAACAGUUCUCCUGACUCUCUCGUCUGCUACGAUAUCUUCAGAUUUGGAACCAUAGCGUAAUGUAGGGUCUACACCCAAGCAUGGCCUGUCGUCUUGAAGAAGAUCAAGAGAAACUUCCUUUGAGAAAGAGAUAUACCUUGGGAAGAUCGAGCAACCUCAAUGCCCAAAAAACUAAACAGAGAUCCCCAAAUCUUUAAUGUUCGAAUGACCUCAUUAAAGUCCAGGUUUUAUUGAACAAUCCAGAAGCAUCAUCUUCUCGUGAUGAUGAUAUCAUCCACAUAAACUGAGAUAAUGACGCCAAAAGCCGUCCCUGAGGCUGGGCGACGAAUAAAGCAUGGUAAUGAUCUGAGUGGGCACUGAGCAAACCCCAUGACAAAACUACCUCACUAAAAAAAACGAUGAAAACAGCCCAAGGAGACUGCUUAAGACUAAGACCGUAGAUAUUUUCGAAGGCGACAAACAUUCCCCAAAUACUCCCCCUGAGCCCGAAAACCUGGAGGGGGAUCCAUAUAUAUAAUCUCGGAAAGGUCACGAUUAGGAAGGGCAUUUUUGACAUCCAAUGGUAAGAAGGCCACGAAUAAGAUGCGCGAGAGAAACCAGAAGGCGAAUGGUGUUUUAAUUUUAGCACUGGGGCAAAUGUGGCACCAAAAUCUUUGUCUGCAAUCUGAGUAAAACCUUAGCACAAGGCGAGCUUUAUAACCUAUCCACCGACAACCAUCCGCCAAAUACUUCACACUGAACGAACACUCCAUUUACAACCAACAGUUCGCUCACCUGGUUGGCAAAGAACAAGAUCCCCAAGUCCGAUACGGCUGAAGAGCAUCCAUUUUCAACCUUCAUAGCAGAAACCACAGAGGUUUCUGGAAGAGCUUCAUGGACAGAGCGAUGAGUUGAGACCACGAGUCGACCCUGACUUAAAAAAGGACUGAUAAGGAGUUUGAAAGACCUUUGAUAAGACAAAUAAUUGGCAAUAGGAUGAUUAGUACUGUGGGAAAGAAGAACGCGCAGAGGGGGGCUACGAACUCCGCUCGGGUGGGAUAACACGGGGAUAAGUGACGUAUCAUAAACGACAAGGGGAAGAGAUACCGUGCUUCCGUACCCUCAUUCUGUUCAAAGGGGAACUGGACAUGCGACCCACUAAUCAUGGUGGAGGAGAGUCCAAUAGGAAGCGGACGAGGAUGUGCAGAACCCUCCUCCUAACCAGAUCGGAAGCAAUGCCCGGGAAAAACGAAGAACCUAGAAGAAUGGCACAGUUUCCUAAAAAGUGACAUCCAAUGACAUUGGUACUAUGACUAGUGACAAGAUCAUAACAGCGAUACCCUUUUGGACAUCGGGAAUCCCAAAAAGACACAAUGAAUUGCCUUAUCAUCAGUUUGGACGGGUGUGCUCCUGAUUUGAACAAAGCAUGUACAAGCCAAAGCACGUGGUAGGAUGGGAAUAAGGUACUAGUAGGCUAAGGAUAUGAAGGGGUGCCUUACCAUGUAAUACCCGACUAGGAGUGCGAUGAUAAUGUAGGUGGCAGUGGGACGGCCAUAUGUCCCUAAAUAUUAGGAACAACCCAUCUCCGUAUAAACAAAUCGGACCAUAGACAUAAUAUCACGUUUUUUUUCUCUCAAGACACGCCAUUCUGUUCAGGGGUGUACGGGACAAGUGAGUUGAUGGAGUUACCACGUUUUAUGAAGUUCAGCACGAAACUCAUUCGUGAUUACUCACGACCAUUAUCCUGACCUUGAUCGUGCGGCACAACUGUGUUAUACGGUGUUUGAUCAUUUUGCAAAAAAAUGAUAAAGUGGGAAGACUACUUCAGAUCUUAAUGACGCAUUAGGUAGACCCAAAGUACAACGGUGAAUCGUCUACAAAUGUGACCAUAUAAAAACGAUGCUGAGAGAGAGCAUAACUAGAGAAGGAUCCCCAGAACAAUCUGAGUGAAAUAAGGUCAAAUGCACUAGGUGCACGAUGCUCGAGGAAUAUAAACGUGCGAGUAUGUUUAGAUAGUUCACAAAUGGCACAUAUUAAAAGUAACUUUCUGGCAUGCUCUAUUGAGAGAAGGAAAAAGGGAACAUACAAUAUUGAAAAUUGCAUUGCCCUAAACGAGCGUAGCCACAGAUUUAAGUUUUAUAGAAAAGACAGACAAUUUAAACUAGACGAAACUUAAAACGGAGGGCUCUAAGACUGGUGGAGCAAAGCUUGAAGACUAAGGAUAAGGCACCGAUGUUGGGGUAUCUCCAAAGUAGUAAGGUCCAUCACGCUCAUACCCCCUGCCAAAAAUCUUCUUCGAAGUCCAGGUCCUGCAAGAAACAACGAGACGGGUAGAAUACAACAGCACAGUUAAGGUUUUUUGCAAGACGACUAACAGAAAGAAGAUUAUAGCAAAAUUCGGAAUGUAAUAAACAAGAAAGCAUAAAUCUGAGGACAAGCGGGCAAUCAACCCUUGACUAUGAUAGGGGGAAAAAAAUAGAGUAACCUCAUCACUCUAAACACAUACUGAGUAUAGAAGUGACCGGAGAGGGUAAAAGUAAAAAGGCUCACCAUCAUGUGAUUAAUUAGCCCCAGAAUCCAGAAAUCCAAGUGGGGUGACCUGACUUACCAUGAAGGGCCGUGACUUUUCUUCUGGCAGCGAUAUUGGCCAUGGGACCAGAGGAUGUGAUUAAGGAACCAAACCCCAAGUGCGACUGUAGUUGAGCAUUUGGUUUUGAAGUUAUUGAUAUUAGGUAUCUCAUUAAUGCAUGGUUUCUAUUUCGGCAAUAGGCGGCCGACUCGAGGAGUUGACGACCAACCACCCGCGACCACUGCCCCUAGCCUGCGACCGGGGGAGUGAACCCGAACGACUCACCACUGCGGUUCCGUUUGACUGCGAUUUCAACCUUAGGAUGUACACAAGCAAGCGAUCAAUAAGGUGACCCCGGCUUGUGACAGUGCUGACAAUAUAGGCGAGUCCCGAAAGGAGGCACCAAAGGUUGUCCGGAUCCGGACAGUUGAGAUGUCUCAGCAGAGAAAUGUUGGUAGAAGUCUGCGCCUCCUCCGCUCAUCACCAUUAACAAUAGCAAACUCUCAAAAGGGCACGGCAAAGGUGAUGUGUUUAAAUUGAGUUCGAAGAGCCUCAAACUUAGGUUUAAAAACCCAUCAAAAAUGAUAUGUUGUUACGAUCAAGACGCUUGGACUCAGACAGCCCCAUCCACGGGAAAUCACUAAUGGGCUCGUAUUGGGCCAAUUCCUCCCUCGCCAUCUAGUUUGGAGAUAUCCAAAAUAAAUCUGCAACCAAGAGUCCUAAGCAGGUUGAGAGGCAUGGGAGAUAUCUCUGUAGAGCUCAAAGAUCCGGGACUCAAUUGCGGCAUGAGCAUACAUCUGCUUCAAAAGUAGUCCUAAACCAUGGACAGUAUCAUGAACAUAAACAAUGGUAUACUCGAAAUCCUCCAUCGAGUUAAUAAACACUCCCCAAAUGAUACAUUAUCUGCAACCCCACUCAUCAACUUGGGAUUCGGAUUCCAGUAUGCUUCGUUCUUUCCUAGAAUCCAACGGGUCUUGCGCUUUCCAACCUAUGUAGAGGCUGAAAGAACGAGACCAAGCAUGAAAGUUUUUUCAUUCAACAAACGCUUCGUGACACGAUUGAGCAGGUUGAGAGAGAAGGAUGAACAGACUCGCAGCAAUAGGAAUUUGAUGGACUGAUAGAGGCAAUUUCCUUGGUUGUGUCAGCCAUCAAGCAACACCUAAAAUGAUCACAAUACAAAGAAAUAGAAUUUUUUUUUUUUACUGUGGAAAGGACUAUAGAGGCUAGAGGCUUGCGCUGGACGGAACAAGAUGGGUGGCUGCUGCAAGGCCAACUGAGCUGAGGCUGCACUACACAAGCUUGGUGGGUCGCUGGGCGGGAUUGUUUGCACUACAGCACAAGGCUGUUGGGUGCUGGACUGCGGCAGCUGAUAGAUGCGCUGGACGGCGUCACGGACUGCUAGAUGAUCGCACGGACCAAGUGGACGGGCGUAAUGGGGGGGAACUGCCCCUGCUGGACUAUGCAGUGGACUGCGCAUGAACUGUUGUGACUUUGCUGCUGUCUCUGGGUUGGAGCAGCACAAGUAUUGGGCUGGAUGGCGUGGCUGCUGGAUGCAGCGCACAUGGCAGUAGCAGGGUCUGCUGAGGGUAUACUUAAACAUCUGGAAGUGCAAGCUAACUUAACAGAAUAAUAUACAUCAGAAAGCUUUAUACGCAAUAGAAUUUAGGAUGAAACUUUCUUACAAUUUACUCUUCCACAUCCUAUAUAUAUACACAAUUUAUUCCUAGUUUAAGGAAAAUCCUAAAGAACAAUCCCUAAAACAAUCCCUAAUUAAGGAAACACUAAUCCCUUAAAACAAGGAAACAUGUUAAUAAAGAUAAGGAGGGAAUCAAGGAAUUCCAACAGACUCCGUCGUCAACCCCAAUGCCUCUACCACUCCUCCAAUAAAAUAAAGACCACCCUCACCACCACAACACAACCAUUUUGUCCAAUUCCGUGCGAUUCAAUGGCGCCAAUCAAGCUCAAUCAGCCACAGAACGCGGCCUCUAGCGACGCGCGUCUCCUCGUCCGUGAGACGCUCCGGAUCAGCGCCGACCUCGCUUCUUCUGCGCUGCCACUGUCCUCUGCCUCAGGUGGCGGCGGAGAGCGGUGGGCUGAGGCUCGAGGCGGCCAAUUUGGGUCUUGUGGAGGAGCAAUUUGUGGAUUCGAGUUUCAGGUUGAUUUGCUGUGAAGAGAUUGAUGGUCGUAGAUGGAAGUACUUUGCCAAAAACGGUGGAGGUUCGAAGCGAUUCAAGAAGGGUUCGAUUCGUGCCGUUUGCUUGCGGACUCCCCAAGCCCCCGUUGAGGUUCGUUUGUUUCAAUUUGUUUUAUAAAUUUGCAUUUUGCUGUAAAUACAUAACUCACAAUUGCUAAAUGACCGGUAUCUGGUACCCUUUAUCAUUUGUUUAAUUCGAUUUAAAGCAGCUGAUCAAAUGGCUAUCCCUGUGUGUUGCAAAGUGACUAAUUCUAAGGUAAAAGGAGGCAAGUGGGUUAUGUUGAGUCCAACCUAUCUGGAUGAGUCCAAGUCCAGUAGCCAAGCCCAAGCCUGAUUGGAGUUCAUGUGACGGUGAAACUCUCGAGCUAUCUAGAAUUCUUUGAGAGUAUUUAUCUUUUUUUUUCCUAGAUAGAUUUAGGAUAAUGAUUAGGUAUUCUGUAGGAGUCCACCACCUCCUUCCCUUGGUCUAUAAAAGGGAUGGUAGGGUGCUUAGAUUUUCCUACCGUGCAUGGUGUUGUGGGUUGAGAGCAGACUGGCUGUGAGGUGAAGAUUGCGAGGCAAGACAGGAGGAUUGUGAGAGAGGGGUGUGAGUUGAGCGCGUCGAGUCUCCUCUGUUGUAAUCCAUUCCGUUCGAAUAGUGGAUUGGUGUUUCUCUCCUUGGACGUGGCAUCGUUGGCCGAACCACGUAAAUCUUUAUUGUCCUGUGUGUGGUGGGGGGGGGUGAUCCCCGUAUUAGUUUUUGAGGCAACAGACAUGAUUGGAAAAAAAAUUGCACCUCCUUAAUAUAAUUUAAUUAUAAAUACAAUUUAAAGAACCACAAAAAAUUUAAUAAUUUGUCCUAAUUUUAUAAAUUCUACAAUUUUUGACCUCACUGAUAUAAAUUUUCUGACUACUCUUUUAACAAUUUAACCUCGCUAAAUAUAAAUUCUGGCUCUUUUAACCCCACUGAUCAUAAGUGUCUAUGCUUCCUAGGUUUGGAUUGAUAAAGUGGAGACACAAGAGAUGCGUCCACUAGAACUCUUGUGAAUAAAAAACCUAAUGCAAUGGGAUUCUGAUAACCCCUUUUAUCUCGUUACUUCAAAUCCCCAAUUUAUGGCUUCCAAACCCAUGUUAUAUUGCUUCGAAAAUCAAUUGGUACAACUUGUCUGCAUAUAAAUUGAGCAACAAACUAUGGUAGUUCAUAUCCCAAUUCAUUGGUCAAAUCCACUAGGCAAAUGCAAUUUUCAUGUGGUUUAAAUUGAUUCGGAUUGAUAGUCAUUUUGUUGUCUUUCCAAUUUUUUUUUGGUAGAAGUCCUGUGUUGUCUUGUUGGUUUGCUGCUACAAAAUGCUGUAAUAAUUAACACGUUCAUUGUAGCACUUCUUUGGUGGAGCCGUGGGUGUUUUCACAACACAGACACUUUUGAGUUCAGUUGGAGUCUCCAUAAACAGGGCCACUCCGGUGCUGUAGCAAUAAAUUGGAUUCUCAAGGUAUGCUGAUGGUACUAUAGUUGGUAUGAGCUGAUUUUCCAUUUUUUGAUAACUGGACCAUGUUUGGGAUAAAAAGUUUGUUGCUUUUGAUUUCUGAAAUGUUUUUAAGUAUCUACUUUACGGACUGCUAUUAGUUGCAUGAGACGGUGACGUGAGUUUCUAAUGGUUUUUGUACUCUAUGCAUGCUUUUUGUCAUCUUUAGCUGAGAUGUAACUGCUUCGACUUAGUCGGAUUCUUAUGACUGUUUUCAUUGUUUUCUUCAAUUUCCAUAGUGCUAUGUAUCAUGCUUUCGGAGAUCUUUAGGUAACCCAUGCAAAGCACUAACCUGUAAACUUAGGUCUCAGAAUCCUUUUACCUGUUUUCCUAUUUUCCCGUCUUCUUUUUCUUCUUCUUUUGAAAGGUUUGGUAUUCUGUAAAAUAUCAGAAACUCAAAAAGUCGGGGAGUUAUUUUGGGUUGAUUUUCAGCUAUUUACAGUUAAAAAAAAAAAGUUUUUUCUGUGUUUUUCGUCCGAUGGAUUGGUGAGUUAAGACCUUGCACUUAAGAGGAGUUCCUGAAUUGCGUAAAAGUCAUUCCGGAACUAAAAUAGUUGAAAUUCUGUCUUAGCAGUUAUACUGGUCUCAACAACCCAUAUGAAAGCAAAUGAUGAUGAACGCAACCAAACUAUAGGUACUUGUUCACUCUUAUACUUCAAAAAUAUAAUGUCACUCCACUGUUCCUUUUUUGCUUCCAAAUCGCUUGCAUGGAACAUUCCAAAGCAACUUUUAUUGGGAUAAGAGUCUUGAAUAUGCCACCCUAGCAGAACUGCUAAUAAAGAUGUGGUUGUGGAAAAUUAUCAUUGUGAUUUGUCUAUAUUUGAUCUGUAAUCUUCCCUGGAAUUUAAAAUUCCGAAUUAAGAUGUCUUAGGUCUGUAUGAAAUUAAUUCUUUACUCGUUACAACCCAACAAUAAAUGUCAAUUAUAUUGAUGAUUUGAAUAAAAAUCCUUUAGUGCGUUAUCAUACUUCUACCGAAUCUUGUUUAAUGUUUUCCUUUGAAGUUUCAGGUUUCAGGCUGGUGCAUCAUUGUUAUUAUACCUUAUUCUGUUAAACACAUCAUAUGCUUUAUUUGUAGGAUGGUGCUGGUCGGGUUGCAAAAAUGCUUUUUUCUCGGCAAGGGAGAAAAUUUGAUUAUGAUCUAAAACAGGUGGCAUGGUUCUCAAUGAUAGUUAUUCGUAUGGUUGAUUUUAACUGAACAUAGUUAUGAUUGCUUAAAGGACUGCUUUGCUGAAAAUCACCACACAUUUCAGCUUCGCUUUGCCGGUGAUCUGCUAAUGGAGUUGGGUGCUGGGGUAGAAUUGGUGACUACAGGUGUGCCACACCUUUUUCUUCCUUUAGCUUGCGCAGCCAAUGUGGCAAAGGUUCAACUUUGCUCUCUCUCUCUCUCUCUCUUACUUCACAUUUUAUGAAUGUCUGCUAUGUAUUGAUUCUGUUGAAUGAGCAGUUGCGUUAUAUUCUUCUUGUUUCAUUUGCAGAAUGUUUCUGCUGUCACGUCAACAUCUACUCGCACUCCAAUAUACAAAGUCUUUUCUAAAGGAGAAAACAUUGGGGAUGUUACCGCGAUGGGAGGAUGCGUUGGCAAUAUUGCCGAUCUGGUAAGCUUCUCGUGAUUCAAUUACAAUUUCCAGAUUCUUGUGUUUGCACCAGACAAAAAAAUCUGCUGCUCAAAUCCUGCAAAUUUAAUGACUUGGAUGGGAUAACUUCUGUUUGGCUCCCCCAUGAGUGGUUUUGCUGUUUCUUUGUGUUUUAAUUUCUAAGUGUUUAACGUGGAAAAGAUGGUAAAAUAGGGGUGUUGUAGUUAUUUCAGGGUAUAUAUGUUGUUGCCUCUACUUUACCAGUCACAUAUCCACCAAACAUUUUUAGUUUGUGGUGUUUAGAGCGAUUUGAUUUUGUUUUGUUUUUUCAAGAUAUAUUUUUAGCAUGUCAAACUGUAAUUUUUUUUGGGUUGGUUACAAUUUAUUUCAAUCUCCAGAAACAAACCUGAGAUACUCAUAUUGGGUGAGUUGCUAUGAACUGCAUAUUUCAGACUUGAAAGACUGGGUCUAUUAGGUCGUAAUGUCGUAUAUCUAAUUAGUGAUUUAACCCCAUUUUAACAUGCUACAUCAUCACCAAAGUCAUUAGCACAACGAUAAAGUACCUAAUGGUGCUGGCAGGCAUCCAGGUGGGAAGGGACGUGGGGUUAGGUGCUCAUUUCUAGUUGCCGUUUAGAAACAAUUUUUUAACCUGUCAUAUCUAGACUGAAUAUUUAGAGAAACAGUUGCUUAAUCAAAAUGGAAUAUAUCAUUUAAUCAAAAAGAUAAAAGUGGUUUGGAACUGUGGAACAUGAGUUCAGGUUGAAUAAUGGGAAUAUGGAUGUGGUACAACAAGGGAAAGGAAUACAUGAACGAGAAUACGUUUCUCAUUUAACGGGAAGAAGACUAAACUCAUGGAUUUAUAUUUCUUUCUGGUAUCUCCUCACAAGAAUAUGCAUGAUAUGUCACAUGACAAAUGCGCUUAAAGAGCCAUUGAGUUCUUCAAAAAUCCAAACGACCAACGGGAUGUCAUGUAAUGCUUGUACAAUAUAUAAUUUAAUUAUGUGAGCAGUUAGUAAGGAUAGCAUGUGUGUUAAUGCACAUCUUACACUAUUUGGGACUUUUUCCGCAUAAAUCACCAGUGUUCAAUAUUAAAAUUAAGACCAAGAAAGUAAAUUGAAUUAAAAUUGACCAAGGAGACUUGCCAACCCAAAAACUAGUAACUUGUAACAACAUGUAUAAAAAAACUAAGUCAUUGUGUUUCUAACGCCCACAUUGUCCAUUACGUCCUUCAUUUUCUUGCUUAGUUACAUGCUUACCUAUGCACAACCUUCCCGAAUUGCCCUUUAUUAUUGACCCUAAUUACAAGCCACCCUACAAACCUAUUCAUGGUCAGCCGUUAGCAACUCAUAACUACAAUGAGAAUGGCCAAACACCUUGUUAUCAACAUGGUUUAUAUGUGUACAGCUCCUAUUUACAUCAACUCCUAUUUGCAGCAACUCCUACUUAGUGCUUCUAAAUGCACACUUUUUAUCUGAGGACACUCCUCAAAAGUGCAUCCUCUUAUUACGAUUUUGUCCCUAUAUGAUGAAACUACAUUCUAAAAUUUAUAUUUAUGAUUUCUCUCCAGCCCACUCUCUCACCCCGCCAACCAUCAUCGCUUCCAGACAGGGGUGGAGCUAGAAUUUGUGUUUAGUGGGGUCAAAAUUGUAGAAUUUAUAAAAUUUAGAACAAAUUAUUAAUAUUUGUGGGGUCAAAAUUGUAUUUAUGAUAAAUUAUAUUAAGGAAAAUAAUGUAUUUUUUUUAUUCUAGUGGGGUCAAUUGACCCCACUUGCCUCUAUGUGGCUCCUCCACUGCUUCCAGAGCUCCCCAACCAGUCUAGCCCCCUCCCCACUAUCUCUCAUCACCGUUGGCCCUUCCUCCACCCUUUCCAGUCGUCACUCGUCAUCAAACCCUCCCCAUCCAUUUCCAACCCUCCUUGGGCAUCAAAAAGACUGAACAACAAAAAGAAGUUGAUAAAAAAGUAAGUGAUUUCAGAGUUGAUUAAUGGAAUUGUGAGAUUAAAUGCUGUGGCCUCUUGUGUGUACAGCUGUGGCCCUUGUGCACUUAUUUUCUCCUCUCUCUCCCUCUCCAUUCUGCAUCAAUUUGACUUUUGGAGAAAAAAGCAUGGGCAGGGUGCACAUGUUAUAUUGUUUUUGAGGAAGAAGAACGUGAGCUACCUUGUGGAAUUGGUACUUCCUGGGAGAUAAAAGCACAUUUUGAUGGGGUCAUUUUUCACACCCUUUGAUGAGUUCUAUUCACAAAAAUAGU
rnacentral:lncRNA from 1 species